GAUGAACGCUAGCGGCAGGCCUAAUACAUGCAAGCCGAACGGCAAGUUUGAUAGCAAUAUUGGACCUAGAGUGGCGCAAGGGUGCGUAACACGUAUGCAACCUGCCCGCGACAGGAGGAUAGCUCCCCGAAAGGGGAAUUAACCCCCCAUAACACCAUGAGAAGGCAUCUGAUUAUGGUUAAACCGCAAGGGGUCGCGGAUGGGCAUGCGGUUGAUUAGCUAGUUGGCGGGGUAAAGGCCCACCAAGGCGGUGAUCAAUAGGGGUUCUGGGAGGAAGGUCCCCCACACUGGCACUGGGAUACGGGCCAGACUCCUACGGGAGGCAGCAGUAGGGAAUAUUGGACAAUGGUUGCAAGACUGAUCCAGCCAUGCCGCGUGCAGGAAGAAGGCCUUCUGGGUCGUAAACUGCUUUUUCCUGUGGAUAAAAUACACGUGCGCGGGGAAUUGAAGGUAACAGGAGAAUAAGCCACGGCUAACUACGUG
rnacentral:rRNA from 1 species